rnacentral:tRNA from 1 species
GGCAGAAUGGCCGAGUGGUCUAAGGCGCUGCGUUAACGCCGCAGUCCGAAAGGGCGUGGUUCGAACCCCACUUCUGUCA